UACGUAGGUGGCAAGCGUUGUCCGGAAUUAUUGGGCGUAAAGCGCGCGCAGGCGGUCCUUUAAGUCUGAUGUGAAAGCCCACGGCUCAACCGUGGAGGGUCAUUGGAAACUGGGGGACUUGAGUGCAGGAGAGAAGAGUGGAAUUCCACGUGUAGCGGUGAAAUGCGCAGAUAUCGGGAGGAACACCAGUAGCGAAGGCGGCACUCUGGGCCGGUACUGACGCUGAGGAGCGAAAGCGUGGGGAGCGAACAGG
rnacentral:rRNA from 1 species